GAUGAACGCUAGCAGCAGGCCUAACACAUGCAAGUCGAGGGGUAGCAGGAUUAAGCUUGCUUAAUUGCUGACGACCGGCGCACGGGUGCGUAACGCGUAUGCAACCUACCUUAUACUGGGGUAUAGCCCGGAGAAAUUCGGAUUAAUCCCCCAUAGUACUAAUGAAUCGCAUGGUUUAUUAGUUAAAGCAUUGCGGUAUAAGAUGGGCAUACGUCCGAUUAGCUAGAUGCUGAGGUAACGGCGCACCAUGGCUACGAUAGGUAGGGGGCCUGAGAGGGUGGUCCCCCACAAUGGUACUGAGACACGGACCAGACUCCUACGGGAGGCAGCAGUGAGGAAUAUUGGUCAAUGGGCGCAAGCCUGAACCAGGCAUGCCGCGUGCAGGAAGAAUGCCCUAUGGGUUGUAAACUGCUUUUAUUUGGGAAUAAACCUCUUUACGUGUAGAGAGCUGAAGGUACCAAAUGAAUAAGCACCGGCUAACUCCGUGCCAGCCGCCGCGUAA
rnacentral:rRNA from 1 species